CUGUCCUUUUAUCAGUCAUCAUUAGUUCCCUUUUAGUUCUCCCUCCUUCUCCCUGCUGAGGUCACUUUUUGACCUCCUGGUCACUUCCCCUCCAUCACAGAAAGACUUGAAUAUUGGCUCACUUUUUCUUGGUUAACUUUAACAUCUACCUGGACAACCAAUCCAACAUCUUGAUCUUAAAGUCCCUUGACCACAGCCCCUAUUCCCAUGGUCAGAUACUGACCCUACUGCCCUCAGAAACCACAUUAACCACUCUUCCCCAUUUCAAAAUGUGGAGAAA